UACAUAGGGUGCAAGCGUUGUCCGGAAUUAUUGGGUGUAAAGGGUGCGUAGAUGGGAAGGCAAGUUGGUUGUGAAAUCCCUCGGCUUAACUGAGGAACUGCAACCAAAACUACUUUUCUUGAGUGCUGGAGGGGAAAGAGGAAUUCCUAGUGUAGCGGUGAAAUGCGUAGAUAUUAGGAGGAACACCGGUGGCGAAGGCGUCUUUCUGGACAGUAACUGACAUUGAGGCACGAAAGUGUGGGGAG
rnacentral:rRNA from 1 species